CUCUUCAGCGAUUUUAUUUUGAGAGCACUGUGGACACAUCUUUGACAGCAGCCUUAGCCAUUUCCUUCUACUUCGACAAGGACCUGGAGGACAUGAAUGGCAGAAUGUGCUCCACCAGAGGAGGGACAGAGUGUCAGAGAUGUGGCACUGGAGGCAUGAUCAACAGUCUGCUGGCCCCUUCCAGCUUUUUCCUAGAGCCCCUUCCAGAUUUCCAGUUUUUAAGAGCUGAAAGCAUCACCAGGCACCGAAGAGGCCAUUGAAGACCCAGAUGACCCUCUAUUCAUAAUGCUGAUUGGGUUCCAGCAGUUGUUCUGCCUUCAACUACAAAGUGACAUGGGAGUGCCAUUGAUUUGGGCUAUGGUUCCCUGGUUGUCAACCAGGCCUCCUCACUAGGAGAAGCUGCAGGUUGAUGCAUUGUGUUGUGGGGUCUUUAGGGUUGAUUAAAAAGCUGAUCUUGUGUUUAUCUGUGUGUGUUUACUUGAGCUCCACUAGGAGGCCAUUGUACAGAAACACCUGUCCACUCACCCUGUUGUCUGCCUUACUACUACUCAACCUCUGAUCAAUAGACAGCGUAUAUACCUUGGUCAUCACAUGUCUCUGUGUGCAGAGCUGUGCUCAUUAUGUUCAGUAAAGGGUGACCAGCCACAGCUGCAUCUGGUUACCUGCACUGGACAUUCUUCUUCAUGACUUCAUCAGGGAGAUUAGUUAGUCAGUUCUUUGCUGUUUUGCACUUAAGUUGCCAGUAUGCUCGACCUGAAGGUCUUGUUGGAUAGCAGAAAAGCUUUGGAAAUGCCUUUCUAAUGUCUGAACUGGGAGAGAGGCCGCAUCUAACAAUUUCUGUAACUUUCCAAAACUGGCAAUGGCAAUCUGAAUGGCCAGCUGUGCAGAGAUGACAAAAGGGCAGGGGUAUGAACUAGAGCUUCCUCUGUCACUUCUUAUGUGAACAAAGAAGUGCAACACUGAGUCUGAACAUGGACUGCCAAGCCAAGGGAGGAGCAAGAGAAAUGUAUCUGAAUAUUUGUUUAUUUGUGAAGCAACUUGUUAAUUAGUAGUGUGAUUUUGAUAGAUAGGCAUUGUUAUGUUGGUAAACAGACUUAUUGCUAGGUUUCUUGAGUUAUCAGUCUUAUACAAUGUUUGUCUUACCGUUUCCCCUAGUUGGCCCUGCCACUAUACUGUAUACAGUUUGUUCUCAAAUGUGUCUUUGUGUUGGGUCAGUUUAGAUUUUCUUCUGUUAGGUUGUGUUCUGUUGCACCAGCAGUCUGUUUUUUAUUUUUCAGUUGUUACUUACCUGGGUUGUUGGAUUUUUAGUUGACCUCUUUGU